rnacentral:rRNA from 1 species
UACGAAGGGGGCUAGCGUUGCUCGGAAUCACUGGGCGUAAAGCGCACGUAGGCGGAUUGUUAAGUCAGGGGUGAAAUCCUGGAGCUCAACUCCAGAACUGCCUUUGAUACUGGCGAUCUCGAGUCCGGGAGAGGUGAGUGGAACUGCGAGUGUAGAGGUGAAAUUCGUAGAUAUUAGGAAGAACACCAGUGGCGAAGGCGGCUCACUGGCCCGGUACUGACGCUGAUGUGCGAAAGCGUGGGGAGCAAACAGG